UACGGAGGGUGCAAGCGUUGUCCGGAUUUAUUGGGUUUAAAGGGUGCGUAGGCGGCCCGUUAAGUCAGCGGUGAAAUCCCGGGGCUCAACCCCGGAACUGCCGUUGAUACUGGCGGGCUUGAGUUCGGUCGAGGCGGGCGGAACUGGCGGUGUAGCGGUGAAAUGCUUAGAUACCGCCAAGAACCCCGAUUGCGUAGGCAGCUCGCUUGGCCGAAACUGACGCUGAGGCACGAAAGCGUGGGGAGCGAACAGG
rnacentral:rRNA from 2 species